rfam:Alligator mississippiensis ScZkoYb_84.2, whole genome shotgun sequence.
UUGUUCAUAUAUAGCAAAUAUACUAAAUUUGGAAUCAUACAGAGAAGAUUAGCAUGGCCCCUACACAAGGAUAUCACAAAUUUAUAAACUGUUUCAUAUUUUU